AGCACAUUUAUUGUUCUGCCUCAUUUCUGACUGUUAUACACUGGAGCAGCUGAUGGAGUUACAGCUGCAGGUUAGAGUGGCUUUUCAUGUUUAGUGCUUAGAGUUCUGUAUUGUUAAAAAUACCAUUGCGUGUGAAGUAAAGACCACACGCUGUAACUCUGGGAAAAGCAAAAGGACUUCACUCUUUCGUUCUACCAAAGAGAAGCUAAGAAGAUUGUACAGGUGCUUCAGAACAACAAAGUUUUGUAAGAGGGAGCUGAUGCCGAGACAUCCAUCACCACCAAACUAUCACCUGGCACCAAGGAUCAAGAGGACAAAUGGAUACACACAUUUCUGGGCCAUGUCCAAUGUUAUAACAUCAGAGAAUAUUACCCACACCUAGGACCAUGUUAAAUGGGGCUGAGGCCAUAUUUGGAACCUGUGGGAAUUCAAGAAGAGAGAUCACAAGUUUAUAUUCACAGAAAUUAUGAUGAUUCUACACUUGGAACACUGGUUUCCAGAAAUAUUUAGCUGCUUGCCAAAAGGAUUAAAAGAAGAC